AGAUAUUGACAUUGCCAAUGAUGCUUUGGUGUAUCCUGCUCGUGAGUACAAAGACUCCACUGUAAGCAACACCAGACCUUCUAGGUUCAAGUUCUUUUGAGCUGGUGGCCUCACCAACUUCUCAUUCAGGUUACUACAGUUGGAGAGGGGAUGCCCUAGAAUCCUCAUCUGACAAAAGAUGGGAUCUGAAAUUGCCAUAUCCAAAAAUGAUCAAUGUGGCAGUGCCUGCAAAUAUGGUCUGUGGAGUGCAAGAUCCAGCAAUAAAGGCCUCACCAUUCCUCUGGUUAUAUCUGACAGGUUAAAGCCCUAAAAUACCAUACGAAAGGUGGUGUAGCAGAACUUUUCUACUCUUUUUCUUUUGGUUUAUCAUGUAUAGAUCUACAUCAUUACACUUGAAUACCUGAUCGUUCCACGUAGCUUAAGAUACAUGAAUCUUCUGGUCAUAAAUUUAAAUAUUAUCAAUUAUUCUGGUAUGUUACUUGCUGUUUCCAUCAUUGAAGAAGAAAAUGUACUGCAUGGAACAAAUAAAUAGUUUUAGUGACGUGUAUGGAAACAAACCAAGAUAGUGAUAUAUAUUUAUUUUGCAUUUAUGGAUCAGUUAAUUACCACA